rnacentral:lncRNA from 1 species
GUCACAGGCUCCCUCCUCUCUGCAAGUAGUCUCAAGGCCAAAGACAGGCUGGUGGGAAAGCUCCAACCAGCAAGGCCAUAUGCUCCCCCUCCCCUACCUAAAACCCCAAAUAAAAACCCUUCCUUUUAGCUUUUCAGGGAGUUUGGGAUUUCAGCAUUAGCUGCCCUCUCUCCUUGCUCAGCACUGUGCAAUAGUUAAAUUCCUACUUUCUUCCACUACCGCCGGUGUCAGAGAUUGGCUUGCUGUGCAAUGGGUGAGCGAACUCACUUCAGGUUUGAUAUCAAUUUGGUGACCCAGAUGGGACAAUGCCCCAGGUGGACCACUUGCCUGUGGCACACCAGCCUCUGGCUAAAGGCCUCUCUUGGAAGCUGUCCUGCAGCUGCCUGAGCCCCUUUUCUCAGGGACAGCCCCAAGCAACUGGCUGCUAACCAGAUGUCAGUGGCCCAUGGCGCUUUGCUUUGGUGGUGGAAGAAACUAGGUUUAGGACUUAGGAAGACAUCUCUCAUAAGUAGCUGGUAGCUUUUGUCUUUGUCCUUGUGCUAACCUUUUCCAGCAGGACCAGCCAAAAAUAAUGGGCACCCAGCAGCCUUCUGGGUUCCAUUUGUUUUGAAGUUGCGACAUCCCGGCCAAAUUUUGAAUCCACUAUCCUCCAUGGAGACAGACACCACCAAGGACAAGCCCUGGAUUCAUUAUCUCCUCUUUGCAAAGAGAUACAGGCUGGUGCGAAAGCUGCUGACCAGCAAGGUCACGGACUCCCUCCUCUCUGCAAGUAGUCUCAAGGCCAAAGACAGGCUGGUGGGAAAGCUCCAACUAGCAAGGCCAUAUGCUGCCCCCCUCCCCCCCCACGUAAAACCCCAAAUAGAAACCCUUCCUUUUAGCUUUUUGGGAAGUUUGGGAUUUCAGCAUUAGCUUCCCUCUCUCCUUGCUCAGUGCUGUGCAAUAAUAAAAUUCCUACUUUCUUCCACCACACCCAGCAUCAGAAAUUGGCUUGCUGUGCAACAGGUUUAAAACACCUGGGUCAAGACCUCUUCUUCUGGCCAAAAUGGAGAAACAAGGACUGGAUUUCCUCUCCUGCCUAAAAAAACCAAAAGACAUACAAAAUGUAUGAAGGAUUUUCGAGACUUUGGAUAUCAGGCAAUGAAAGACAAUGAUCUUUGAGUGAUGGAAAAUAAAUGAGUUUUGGACCACAGUUGACCAUGGGUAACUGAAACCAUGGAAAGCAAAACCGCAGAUAAGGGAGGACUACUGUGUUCCUUUUAUAUAGGAAAAGGAACAUCAAUUAUAUAAUGCAACAUUGUGGAUGACCUGGUAUAACAGACUCAGAAAGUAUUGGGUAAGCUGAAUAGAGUUCCGAGAAUGCUGGGCACAUUCGCCGAACAAUCAAAACACUUCCAACAGAGAGGGAAAAAGAAAAGCAGAUCUAUUGAAAAACAUUUUCAUGACACAGAACCAUGGAAUUAAAUGACUUUCAAAGAAAGGUGUAAACCUUACAAUAAUUUCAAGUCACAUUCAGUAUGAAGCAAAGAUUUACAUGAAAGAACUUUUAGAUGUAUGAACGUUCAUAUGAGAGAAAUGUGCUCAGUGAAGGAGAGAACCCAAAAUGCUUUGCAAUAGCCUGGCCAUUGCUCGAGCAUGAUGACUUCAAAAGAAGCUACAGAAAGAAAUGGAAAGUUGGAAUAAAUACUGACCAAGCAAGGAAAGGACAGAAUAAAAAUGAGUUCCUGUGUCUAUAUAUCCAAGUCCAGAUACCAUUUCUGUAUGGAUGAUCUAGAGAUGAUAAAUUCACAGCAUGUCAAAACCUGAACUAAUCUCAAGUUUGUUACCAAAUUUUUUCUCCAGAUCUUGUUUGAUGAUAGCCCAUCUACCCAGUUACCCAAUCACAGACCUCAGAGUCAUCUUGGAAUCCUCGCUGUGUCCCAUUUUCCCCCAUCUUUUACCAAUUCUAUUGAUUUCGCUGCUAGUGUCUAGACACUCCUUUUAAUGUGUAUGUUAAUGAUAUGAAUCAGAACUUCAUCAAUCUCUUGCGUAGCUCACUGUAACAAUGUCUUAAUUGAUCUCCGUGUCCCUGGUGUUUCUCCUUUCAAUCUAUUCCCCACAUUGCUGCCAAAAUAGUCAUUCUAAAAUGCAAAUCUGAUCAUAUCGCUUCCUUGGUAAAUAUCCUCCAAAGUUUCCUGAUACCAAUUGGGAUAAAAUCCAGAUUCCUUAGCAGAACAUGAAAAGCCCUUAAUAGGGACUACCCUCCUCUCCAUCCAUUCUUUCCAUCAGUAGCCCCUGCUCAUCCUUCCAGACCCAGUUCAGGAAUUAUCUCCUCUGAAUAUUCACUCAUGAUACCCUUAUCUGAAUCAGCUUCCCUAACCACAGCACCUUGCAAUUCUUUUUGGCUUAGAACUUAUCUUAGUUUGUUGUAAUUGAGUGACCAUGUCUCUUUAUCCUACUAUUCUGCAAGAAACUUAAGGAAAGAAGCCAUUGUUCUUCAUUUCUGUAUCCCCAGCAUGGAACACUAAUACGUAGAAAGCAAUUAAAGUGUUUGAGAAAGAAAGGAAAUAGGAAAGAAAAAGAAAAUAGAAGGGAUCAACUAGAUAACUCUAGAAAAUUUUUAACGCUAAAAUGCUGUCUCUGUGAUUCCAUUUAUUUGGGCCAGACCCCCAGGUCAUACACACAUCAUCUACAGGCAGUGAGGGGUAAACUAUCAACACCAAUAAGCUAUUCUUCCAUUCUCCAACCCCAAGGGAAAGUGUUCCCUUAAACUCACCACAUAAAGACAACAAGGAUGCUUUAAGGUGAGAGAAACCUGUAGUAGUAUACAUUCUUAGGAUUACCAGGAGAAAUAGAUCCCCAAGUGGUAGACCAGGGAGCUGAUUUUUACCUCCAAAGCAACAAAGCUCAUGGAAGCAUUGUGUCACCCUCCCUUCCUGCAGCCAUCAACGCUGAGUGCCAGGGAGGUGAAGACUCUCCACACACUAGGGGGUACUCUUGGACCAGCAGUUUCCAUGCUCAUUAAGUUCUCUUUGGAUUUUGCUUCUCUUCAAAUCAAGUUAAAAUGUAUCUCCCCUUAUUCCUAGACUCUGGGAAGUAGAUUUGGUUGUGCCUUCUUCUGUAGCAUACCCAUAACUCUUCUAAAGAAUUUAUCACACUGUUAUUAUUAUUGUUAUUAGAUAAGUGUUCAGAGACAAUUCUCCAAGGGUCUCUUGCGUUUCUGCCCAUUUGAGCAAAGACGUUGACAGCUUUUGCUUCCAACUAUCUUUCCAAGGAUGUUUGUAUGGCAAACUGCCUUUGAGCAUGGAGAUAGUAUCUCCCUUCAAGGGAGAAGAAGGCAGGUUUUUCCUAACCUAUCUUGGUAAUAAAGAUAAUGUCUCCCACUGAGGUGAAGGUUAGGCAAGUUUGCUAGCAGCCUCCUUUGUGAGAUUGGGAGCUUCCAACGCUUAUGUUUCCUCAAUUGUGAUACAAACCUACUGUAGACACAUCUACCUGGGCUACUUUACAUCACCGCCAUGGAACUAGAGGAGAGGGGAGGAAUCCAGGAGAACAUGAAGUUCAUGCUGCCUGCUGUGCCGUGAGUAAUAAAGUUUUCUCUGAUCCAGGAAUCUCAUGUCUUAUGUCAGGAUCUAUGAACCUGCAGCAGACUCACUUGUUAAGCAUUUAAACAGAGCGAAAUCCCAUACCUUUUUCAAGUUCCUGCUAAUGUGCAGUGUGUUUGUGUCUGUGUGUGUGUGUGUGUGUGUGUGUGUGUUUAACCUAUUCAGCUUCUUCUGACCGUGAACUCCUUAAGAGUAAGGAUUGUAUCUAAUCCAUCCAGGGAUCUCCAAGACUUAACCUAAUUAAAAUUAAAAUAGACAUUAGCCGAAUAAAAAUGUAAUGAGAACAUGGGUAGUCAAGAAGAGGAAAAGGGGUCAGGGAAAACCUACCACAUAAUGUACAGGUCUUUUCAUCAUUUAAAUUAAUGCUGCUUUUCAUUAAGUUGAAUUAACGCUAUUGUUCUGUUAGAAAAGAUAAAUAGACUGUUAUCCAUGUAUAUUCUUUACAUGACAAUUAUGACCUUAACCCAACUCUUGCAUUGUCAUUCUAUCCUCAUAUCAUAAGUCCCCACUCACCUACCCACCAUCAACCCUAAAGUUCAAAGUAUAAAAUCAUAUUUUGCAAUAAAAGACACUGAGGGAUUCUGACUGAAAACAUACCAUAAGGAAGUAGGGGUUUAGACCUGUGUUUCAGAUGGGAAUGUUGCUUCUGGACUCCAUUUUUGGUUAACGUUGGAACCCAUCCUUGUUAGUCACUCCUGCACUGUGGGUGGAUGUGUCUGGAGAAAUGACUCUAUGUAUGUGCAUUCAAAGAGUUAAAGCAUCAUAACUAAUAAAAAUUGGGUCCUGAGUAGUUUUGUUGUGAGUCUCUUUCUUCUGAGUGUGAAACUGAGGAAAGAAAUGUCCUCCUCAUUGAGAGGAAACCUCAUAGCUGGACAAAGCAUUCAGAGAAGUGGGAGGUUCACUGGUGAUAGCAAUGGGAUCAGGAGGUGAGGCAUAAGGACCAGGAGGAACAGAAAAUGUAACUGUGAGUCUCCCGAAGCCCUUGAGGCUGCUCUCAUUGGCUUAAGGAGAUGGGGCUCCAACGAACGUGGAGGCACCUGAUGGACUGGAUAUACCUGACAGAUAAAGUUAUCCGGGUGUCAGCCUCACUGGGGUCCAGCCAAAGGUCUGAAUUUCUAUUUCUUCUAAGAUAACUGAUUCAUG